GAAUUGGCGGCAGCCUACACAUGCAAGUCGAGCGGUAGCACAGAGAGCUUGCUCUCGGGUGACGAGCGGCGGACGGGUGAGUAAUGUCUGGGAAACUGCCUGAUGGAGGGGGAUAACUACUGGAAACGGUAGCUAAUACCGCAUAAUGUCGCAAGACCAAAGAGGGGGACCUUCGGGCCUCUUGCCAUCAGAUGUGCCCAGAUGGGAUUAGCUAGUAGGUGGGGUAACGGCUCACCUAGGCGACGAUCCCUAGCUGGUCUGAGAGGAUGACCAGCCACACUGGAACUGAGACACGGUCCAGACUCCUACGGGAGGCAGCAGUGGGGAAUAUUGCACAAUGGGCGCAAGCCUGAUGCAGCCAUGCCGCGUGUAUGAAGAAGGCCUUCGGGUUGUAAAGUACUUUCAGCGGGGAGGAAGGUGUUGAGGUUAAUAACCUCAGCAAUUGACGUUACCCGCAGAAGAAGCACCGGCUAACUCCGUGCCAGCAGCCGCGGUAAUACGGAGGGUGCAAGCGUUAAUCGGAAUUACUGGGCGUAAAGCGCACGCAGGCGGUCUGUCAAGUCGGAUGUGAAAUCCCCGGGCUCAACCUGGGAACUGCAUUCGAAACUGGCAGGCUAGAGUCUUGUAGAGGGGGGUAGAAUUCCAGGUGUAGCGGUGAAAUGCGUAGAGAUCUGGAGGAAUACCGGUGGCGAAGGCGGCCCCCUGGACAAAGACUGACGCUCAGGUGCGAAAGCGUGGGGAGCAAACAGGAUUAGAUACCCUGGUAGUCCACGCCGUAAACGAUGUCGACUUGGAGGUUGUGCCCUUGAGGCGUGGCUUCCGGAGCUAACGCGUUAAGUCGACCGCCUGGGGAGUACGGCCGCAAGGUUAAAACUCAAAUGAAUUGACGGGGGCCCGCACAAGCGGUGGAGCAUGUGGUUUAAUUCGAUGCAACGCGAAGAACCUUACCUACUCUUGACAUCCAGAGAACUUUCCAGAGAUGGAUUGGUGCCUUCGGGAACUCUGAGACAGGUGCUGCAUGGCUGUCGUCAGCUCGUGUUGUGAAAUGUUGGGUUAAGUCCCGCAACGAGCGCAACCCUUAUCCUUUGUUGCCAGCGGUCCGGCCGGGAACUCAAAGGAGACUGCCAGUGAUAAACUGGAGGAAGGUGGGGAUGACGUCAAGUCAUCAUGGCCCUUACGAGUAGGGCUACACACGUGCUACAAUGGCGCAUACAAAGAGAAGCGACCUCGCGAGAGCAAGCGGACCUCAUAAAGUGCGUCGUAGUCCGGAUUGGAGUCUGCAACUCGACUCCAUGAAGUCGGAAUCGCUAGUAAUCGUAGAUCAGAAUGCUACGGUGAAUACGUUCCCGGGCCUUGUACACACCGCCCGUCACACCAUGGGAGUGGGUUGCAAAAGAAGUAGGUAGCUUAACCUUCGGGAGGGCGCUACCACCUUUAAUUACUUGG
rnacentral:rRNA from 1 species